rnacentral:rRNA from 2 species
GUGACCCCAGGAUGGG